rnacentral:rRNA from 1 species
GGGGAAUUUUGGACAAUGGGCGAAAGCCUGAUCCAGCCAUGCCGCGUGAGUGAAGAAGGCCUUCGGGUUGUAAAGCUCUUUCGGCGGGGAAGAAAUCGCAUUCACUAAUACUGGAUGUGGAUGACGGUACCCGAACAAGAAGCACCGGCUAACUACGUGCCAGCAGCCGCGGUAAUACGUAGGGUGCGAGCGUUAAUCGGAAUUACUGGGCGUAAAGCGUGCGCAGGCGGUUUUGUAAGUCAGAUGUGAAAUCCCCGGGCUCAACCUGGGAACUGCAUUUGAGACUGCAAGGCUAGAGUACGGCAGAGGGGGGUGGAAUUCCACGUGUAGCAGUGAAAUGCGUAGAGAUGUGGAGGAACACCGAUGGCGAAGGCAGCCCCCUGGGCCAAUACUGACGCUCAUGCACGAAAGCGUGGGGAGCAAAC